rnacentral:rRNA from 1 species
AGUGAACGCUGGCGGUAGGCCUAACACAUGCAAGUCGAACGGCAGCACAGUAAGAGCCUGCUCUUACGGGUGGCGAGUGGCGGACGGGUGAGGAAUACAUCGGAAUCUACUUUUUCGUGGGGGAUAACGUAGGGAAACUUACGCUAAUACCGCAUACGACCUACGGGUGAAAGCAGGGGAUCUUCGGACCUUGCGCGAUUGAAUGAGCCGAUGUCGGAUUAGCUAGUUGGCGGGGUAAAGGCCCACCAAGGCGACGAUCCGUAGCUGGUCUGAGAGGAUGAUCAGCCACACUGGAACUGAGGCACGGUCCAGACUCCUACGGGAGGCAGCAGUGGGGAAUAUUGGACAAUGGGCGCAAGCCUGAUCCAGCCAUACCGCGUGGGUGAAGAAGGCCUUCGGGUUGUAAAGCCCUUUUGUUGGGAAAGAAAAGCAGCAGGUUAAUACCCCGCUGUUCUGACGGUACCCAAAGAAUAAGCACCGGCUAACUUCGUG